GAGUUUGAUCCUGGCUCAGAUUGAACGCUGGCGGCAUGCCUUACACAUGCAAGUCGAACGGCAGCACGGGAGCUUGCUCCUGGUGGCGAGUGGCGAACGGGUGAGUAAUGCAUCGGAACGUAUCCUGGAGUGGGGGAUAACGUAGCGAAAGUUACGCUAAUACCGCAUAUUCUGUGAGCAGGAAAGCGGGGGACCUUCGGGCCUCGCGCUCUUGGAGCGGCCGAUGUCGGAUUAGCUAGUUGGUGAGGUAAAGGCUCACCAAGGCGACGAUCCGUAGCAGGUCUGAGAGGAUGAUCUGCCACACUGGAACUGAGACACGGUCCAGACUCC
rnacentral:rRNA from 1 species